CCUACGGGUGGCAGCAGUGGGGAAUAUUGCACAAUGGGGGAAACCCUGAUGCAGCGACGCCGCGUGAGUGAAGAAGUAUCUCGGUACGUAAAGCUCUAUUAGCAGGGAAGAAAAUGACGGUACCUUACUAAGAAGCCCCGGCUAACUACGUGCCAGCAGCCGCGGUAAUACGUAGGGGGCAAGCGUUAUCCGGAUUUACUGGGUGUAAAGGGAGCGUAGACGGCAGCGCAGGUCUGGAGUGAAAGGCCGGGGCCCAACCCCGGAACUGCCUUUGAAACUGUGCAGCUCGAGUGCAGGUGAGGUAAGAGGAAUGCGUAGUGUAGCGGUGAAAUGCGUAGAUAUUAGGAGGAACACCAGUGGCGAAGGCGGCUUACUGGACUGCAACUGACACUGAGGCUCGAAAGUGUGGGUAUCAAACAGGAUUAGAUACCCGGGUAGUC
rnacentral:rRNA from 1 species